UGGAGGUGCUGAAGGCCAAGUACAAGCCAUCCGGGUGGAAACCUGUAUUUGAAGGUCUGCACCGCGGGGCAAAGGGCCAGCUUGUUCCCUCUGCAACUGGAUGAGCUGAAUUGGCAGCAGACAACCAGCGUUUCUCAGGAAGCUGUACCAACAAGAUGCAAAAGGGAGAGGUGGAGCAGAGGAGGGCAGUUCAUGAGCUGAUUGUGCUAAGCCCUGUCAAAUAAUCCUUUAG
rnacentral:lncRNA from 1 species